GUGUAGCUCGCGUGAGGGAUUGAAGCGGUAUCCUUUUUUGAGGAACGAAAAAAAGAUUGCAACGAAAAGCCCGACCCUUU
rnacentral:sRNA from 1 species